GUUCCUGCUCCUUAGGAACCUUCAAUCAAGUCGUUAAGGGAAUCGAUAUGUUUUGAUUCCCAAACGAGUAAGAGUAAACUCCUGUUACAGAUGUUGAGAAAUCUGGACAGGGUUCUUGCUGGAACGGAAGUCCACGUGACCUCAGCUCAGGUGGGACACUAAGGGCAGCUGCAGGCACAGCUUGGAUUUCCCCAAAGUUCAGCUUUGAACGCAUCCAGAUAUCCCGGCAACGAUUCAUCUGAGGCUGUGGAAUUCCUGCCAUGGCGCAUGGCCAAGAUGGUCUUCAUCUAGAAACUUUUCCUGUCCAUGUCACCAGUCAUUUCUGCUGUAAUUUUCCUCGUGUGGUGAUUCUCAUUCGUUGAACGCAUGUGUGGAUGAGUCAGUGAAGAACGUGGACCUGCCUGGCUGCUGUUGGAAUGGGCCCUUUUCCUUGCAGAACUCUGCCUGGAACAAGAAGCUUGACUAGAUCUCGUGUUGUCACAGGACUUUGCUGCAGGAGGUGCUACUCCAAGUGUGCUCGGUUGACUGGUACCAGGUCUGCAAAUCGCUUGUUGCUGGUCCACCAUGAGGUGGCUUGAGAAGGCCUGGCGUGGCACAACUGGGUUGGAGUGGAUCCGGGCUCCAGGACACCAGGAGGAGCACUCUGGAAUGAAGAGUCGACGACAGAGGACGUCCAACUUCCCAGAUCAGCU
rnacentral:lncRNA from 1 species